GAAGAGUACUUAAAAGCACACACCCAGCCACUGACACCAUCAAGGCAUCAACUUACACCACUGUCUCAUGUCUAUUUCCAUGCACACCACAAAGAAAAACCAAAACGACAAACACUUAUAAUCCAAUGGUCAGAUGAUGACCCAAAGCUGGAUCUCAUCUCUAGUGAGCUGCAUGACCCACUUGAUGCCAGGCAGGAUGAUGAGAUACCAUUAAAACACAAUUAUUUCGAUGUUUUCCAAAUUAUUAUCCAAGCACCAAGAGUGAUCAAAGAAUUUAGUCCAGCCUCCAUAGAGCUCGUCACCAUGUUAAUCGUCUUGAGUCACCAAUCGUCAAAUUGUAUAGUGGGCGGAUCACUGGAAAAUCUGGGAGGCCAAAAUGUAUAAGUAGCAAUGGACAUUGAGAAGAUGCAAGAGGCCAAGAUGCGGUGGAUCAUCUCACUUUUCUGAUCACAUAGCAGACAGCACUCCAGAUGUGCCAACUCCUGUAGAGCUAAGCGAUCUGCUGUACAGAAUUGUUAUGGGCUACUAUUAACCAAUGGAAGAACUGGCAUUUCUUGGGGGUCCAUGAAUUCCAUAUCAAUUUCCAUGGCUCAAAGGGGAUGUAUCCUAUGUAGGAAUCCAUGAAGUUGACUAUGGGGG
rnacentral:misc_RNA from 1 species